rnacentral:misc_RNA from 1 species
GAUGAAGAACGUAGCGAAAUGCGAUAAGUAAUGUGAAUUGCAGAAUUCAGUGAAUCAUCGAAUCUUUGAACGCACCUUGCGCCCUUUGGCCAUUCCGAAGGGCAUGCCUGUUUGAGUAUCAUGAACACCUCAACUCUUCAUGGUUUUCCAUGAUGAGCUUGGACUUUGGGGGUCUUGCUGGCCUGUGGGUCGGCUCCUCUCAAAUGAAUCAGCUUGCCGGUUUUUGGUGGGCAUCACAGGUGUGAUAACUAUCUACGCUUGUGGUUUUCCACCAGGGUAACCUUCAGCAGUGGAGGUUCACUGGAGCUUACAAAUGUCUCUCCUCUGUGAGGACAGCCCUUUGAAUGUUUGAUCUCAAAUCAGGUAGGUCUACCCGCUGAACUUAAGCAUAUCAAUAAGCGGAGGA